UUGACUGUUACCUGAAGUCAUUCAGCUGAUGUAUUUUCAACUGAUUUCUUUACUUUUCAGUUAAACAUGAUGAUCCAGAUUUAAUACCAACUUCUGUUGCUACUAUGAACAGGAAAAUGAAUGUGACGUUUGGAAACAUCGCCUUUAUGACUUGUGAUUUAGGGAAGUGGCAGAGAAAAAUUCUAAUGAAAUUACAAUAGGUUGCAAUGUUUACAAAUUAUCCUCCUCAUACUGCUCCACCAUUUCUCUAAUGGAUUUGGGUAGAAAACCACUUGGUGUUAAAUUGAAACCAUAGUGCCAGAUAACAUUUUCCUGGACAGUGAACGUGAUUUUCUGUCCUUUUGGUCGUCGUACUGACGGUUUCCAUGUUGUGGUUUUCUUACCACCGAAGGGCUGAAUUACCACCCUGUCAUCGUCCAGCAAUUCGACCACUUGCCCAAUCUGAGGCCAGUCUUCUGGCGACAUAGGCGUAUCUGUAAGUACAAGGUCUUGUACCUUCAUGUCUUCCUUUUGAGAGAUAACUCUCCUAGCCCUUCCUAUAGUUACCUGUUGAAAGUAAAUUGUAUAAAUCAGUUGAA
rnacentral:lncRNA from 1 species